ACUCAAGAAAAAAAAAAGAACUCUCUCCAUUUCUCUCCCCAAAACCGAGAGCCCUCUCUCUCUACUCCAUUUUUUUCCUCUCUUCUUCUUCAAAUCCGAAAUCCUAAGGGGUGGAUAUGCAUGCAUCUGAUUCUAAUGCCCAUCCAUGGCGUGGAUCUUGUAUUCUAGGGUUCAAAAGAGGUGGUUCUAGGAGAAUCUCAAGGUAAAGGUUCUAGAGUUUUUAUGUUUUUCCACAAAAAAUCAUCUUCUACCCUAAAAAUCCUUUAAAAAUCUGCAUGUGGAACUAUUGGGGCUUGGUUUAAGUGUAUAGAACGCAAGGAGGAAUUUUGAAAAGCUAAGGGAAUUCCAUCUCCAAGCUAGAACUACAAAGGGUAAGUGCAAAAGCAAAGUGGAGCAGUGAGCGCCGGAGUCUGCUUGUGGAUAUGUACAUGUGGCCCAACCUGGGAAGGUUUUUGAUGGAACACCAUUUUGAAAGAAACGUUACAUGUAAUCUGUUAAUGUGUUCGACAUCUACAGCACUCCAUAGGUUGCCGAGGCUCCCCCGAGCAAGAAGAAAACCAGCAAGAGACAUCACGGGGAGAGCAUCAAAGCGCCUCAGGCGAAGUAGGCUCGGAACAUAGGCCCUUCGGAGGAUAGGCCCUCCGCCACCACGACUCCACCUUCUCCCCACGAGAAGCAGACUCAUUUUGCUCCAGUCGGACUGACUCCUCCUCCCGCGGCCCCGACCGACCAACCUCAGUAGGUUGAUCCUGCUUCAACCGGGGGUGAGAUGGUUGGUCGCGCCUUCAAACUAAUCAAGGAUAGGAUCACCAAGAUUGCAAAGCACGACUGCUGCCGAGGGGCAAUGGCUGCUACAGAGACGAUGGAAGUUGACUCGAUCCUGAACCGUGCCCUAAACGAGUUUACCAGUGCCAUGCUGACCCUUACUGCCGGCCGAAUCCGCUUGGGUGCCGUCACCAAGUAGGCCAGAACUUUGGAGCAACGGCAUGAGGAUGAACUUAAAGCUGCUGAGGCCAAACAUGCUGAACAACUGUCGGCGGUGGUUGAGGAAAAGGCCCAAUUGGCUAAGGAGUUGGAGGAGAAGCAGAGGUCUUUGGAGAAGGUUCGCAAGUAGAGGGACCAAUUUAAGGAGUCCAACCGCUUUAACUUAUGGACGGCCCAACAACUCGAGGUGGACUUGAUUGCGAGCAGACAGAAGACCACUACUCUGGAGGGCCGGGUCGAAGAGUUGGAGAAGGCCAAUGCUGGCAACUUGGAAAGGUACAAGAAUGCCACUCUUCGAUGCUCCUAUGAUUUCUGGAAGCACAAUCAGGGUGCCAACUUCGACUAUCUUCUUGAGAAUUUGAGGGAUGCCGAGCUAGUUCGCUGCACUGCACAACUGGCUGAGGAAGAAAGAUCAAGGGUUCCUGCUUCCCUUGAAAUCUCGCUGGCCGCUGGGAUGGAUAGGGCAAACAAUGAGGCACCGGGUGCUGUCGACCAGAACCUUCCCCAAGAUCCUUCGGCUCCUCAAAAUCCUUGAGCUCCUUAGUCUUUCCUUUUUAUGUUUUUUCUUUUUUAACUACACGACCUAUAGGUCGUGAUGUAAAAAACAAUAUAAUUUUUUGGUUUGCUGCAUGGGCAGCUUUUACUUUUACUUGAACA